AUUCCUGUAUCGCUGAAUUCUGCAAGAACAGAAACGGGGGAACCAUCGAGACUGGCAUUAUUGUUAAGCCAGAACGUAUCCAGUCUCAGGGGUGAAUUGCUCGCAAGUGGAGCAUAGGGCUACUUCAAAGCCCGAAUCCGACAGCUAACCUCGUAAGCGUACUGAAGAGGAACU
rnacentral:sRNA from 2 species